GGAUUAAAAAAAAAAGAAAAGGGGGCAAUAGCUUUACCUAGAAGCUAGAUACUAGCCCAGGCAACACAGCAGUUGCUAGAUGUACUUGACAUUUCCAUAUAAAAGCACCAUAAUUUGGACACUAAGAGCAAUUUAUCUUGUUCAAUUGAAGACGCUCAAUAGAGUUAAAAACAAAGAAAAAACGGCUACACUUUGUUGUAGGCAUUCUAGUGGAACGAUUUAAUUAAUUUACCAAACUUGUUGAUGUGGCUAACAGCCCUAACCCUAAUUAGGUUGUAACAGUAUGUGAGGUCAUGAGAAUAUAAGGAGAGAACAAAGAUAUCAAAACUCAUUUCUUGUUACAUAAUCAGAAAAAUUAAGCAGAAAAAAAAAUGCUUCAUUAACAAAAGCUUGCUUUCUUCUUCUGGUUACUACAUCACUUUUCACAUCAUAAAAGCCCUAAUAAAAUGAGAUCCUACCCUUUAACAAGACUAACCUCCGCUGCCCAAAAUUACACAAAAGACUAAGUACAUAAAUAACCCUAAGCUAAAACUGCUACAAGACCAUGAACAGUAAUGCACUACAGUGAUACAAACAGCAAUUUUAAAUUUUUUUCCCUUCAGUUUUCCACCUGAAUCAGCUUUCUGUCAUUGUUGAAGAGGAUAGUAGAUGUUGUUUCUUAUGUGAUAAUUCUCAAGAGUAGGCAACUUGGAC
rnacentral:misc_RNA from 1 species